rnacentral:lncRNA from 7 species
AUCAACUCGGCUCGAUCAUCGCACGAACGAUGAAGACGACCGGUAUCGGCGAGCGCGAGAGCAGUGCCCAGGCCAGAGAUAUGUAGCCCGACGACCUGGUAGUAGCUUCAACGGGAGAGUAGGAGGAAGAACUCACCGCCACAUGCAAGCAAAUCGACGUCAGGGAGCUAGGACGCGGGCGUAGAACACAGAAGUGGGAGGCGCGGCCGCAGGACAAGCGAGAGCGACCAGGGCCGAACACCGGGGAGCCGUGGCUGGGGCGUCUUCGAGGAAGAAGACCAAGGAACGUGCCGUUGGUAGAACGCUAACGAGGGGCAGGGAGGUGUAGCGUCCAAGGACGCGAGCAGGAGCUAGAGGCCAAACAAACUACGGUGACUCGAGCAGGAGACGCGGCACUUGCGGCUGAGGGAGAUAGCACGAAGAAGAAAA